AUGCUUAUAGCUUAAUUGGAUAAAGCCUUAGAUUGCGGAUCUACCG
rnacentral:tRNA from 1 species